ACAGCUAGAGCAGAGCUGACCUUCAUUGAGAUCACUGAGUUCUGCAUGAACACCUUGUGGAAUAACUAAAACAGAGCUGACCUCAGUGAGCUCAGAAUUGAGUCCUACAUGAGCACCAGGAACCAAGUGUAUGAAGGCAAGAACAAAGAAACCAUUGUUCAGCUUUGAGUUCCAAUUCGGAUUCUUAAAACUAAAAACAGAAACAAAAUGAGUCUUGGGAGUAAGUUUUCUAAUGCAGAAGCCAACCAAUUGAGAGAGAGGAGACUGGUUACAUUCUGUGAAAGGGCUCAGUACCUGAGAGCAUGAUGUAACAACCCCCAGAGACAUCUUCCAUUGUUCGUUGGGUACCAUGAUUGUUUCAUAAUAUACACUGAAUGUCAAAUGGCUACUGGACACCUGCUCACAAGAUCUUACAGGAGAACAAGUUUUGGUCACUUGUCAACGGGUAAGAGAAAGAACAUAGCAGCAUGAUAUGAUACCAUUUCUAUGCUCCAAACAUUCUGAAAUGGAAAAUAAAAAAAUUAAA